rnacentral:rRNA from 1 species
CGCCCUUAGAGUUUGAUCAUGGCUCAGAACGAACGCUGGCGGCAGGCUUAACACAUGCAAGUCGAACGCUCCCUUCGGGGAGAGUGGCAGACGGGUGAGUAACACGUGGGAAUCUACCUAUCUCUGCGGAACAACACAUAGAAAUGUGUGCUAAUACCGCAUACGCCCUUUGGGGGAAAGAUUUAUCGGAGAUAGAUGAGCCCGCGUUUGAUUAGCUAGUUGGUGAGGUAAUGGCUCACCAAGGCGACGAUCAAUAGCUGGUCUGAGAGGAUGAUCAGCCACACUGGGACUGAGACACGGCCCAGACUCCUACGGGAGGCAGCAGUGGGGAAUAUUGGACAAUGGGCGCAAGCCUGAUCCAGCCAUGCCGCGUGAGUGAUGAAGGCCCUAGGGUUGUAAAGCUCUUUCAACGGUGAAGAUAAUGACGGUAACCGUAGAAGAAGCCCCGGCUAACUUCGUGCCAGCAGCCGCGGUAAUACGAAGGGGGCUAGCGUUGUUCGGAAUAACUGGGCGUAAAGCGCACGUAGGCGGAUUGGAAAGUUAGAGGUGAAAUCCCUGGGCUCAACCCAGGAACUGCCUUUAAAACUAUCAGUCUAGAGGUCGAGAGAGGUGAGUGGAAUUCCGAGUGUAGAGGUGAAAUUCGUAGAUAUUCGGAGGAACACCAGUGGCGAAGGCGGCUCACUGGCUCGAUACUGACGCUGAGGUGCGAAAGUGUGGGGAGCAAACAGGAUUAGAUACCC